CGGGACACGUGGUAUCCUGUCUGAAUAUGGGGGGACCAUCCUCCAAGGCUAAAUACUCCUGACUGACCGAUAGUGAACCAGUACCGUGAGGGAAAGGCGAAAAGAACCCCGGCGAGGGGAGUGAAAAAGAACCUGAAACCGUGUACGUACAAGCAGUGGGAGCACGCUUAGGCGUGUGACUGCGUACCUUUUGUAUAAUGGGUCAGCGACUUAUAUUCUGUAGCAAGGUUAACCGAAUAGGGGAGCCGAAGGGAAACCGAGUCUUAACUGGGCGUUAAGUUGCAGGGUAUAGACCCGAAACCCGGUGAUCUAGCCAUGGGCAGGUUGAAGGUUGGGUAACACUAACUGGAGGACCGAACCGACUAAUGUUGAAAAAUUAGCGGAUGACUUGUGGCUGGGGGUGAAAGGCCAAUCAAACCGGGAGAUAGCUGGUUCUCCCCGAAAGCUAUUUAGGUAGCGCCUCGUGAAUUCAUCUCCGGGGGUAGAGCACUGUUUCGGCAAGGGGGUCAUCCCGACUUACCAACCCGAUGCAAACUGCGAAUACCGGAGAAUGUUAUCACGGGAGACACACGGCGGGUGCUAACGUCCGUCGUGAAGAGGGAAACAACCCAGACCGCCAGCUAAGGUCCCAAAGUCAUGGUUAAGUGGGAAACGAUGUGGGAAGGCCCAGACAGCCAGGAUGUUGGCUUAGAAGCAGCCAUCAUUUAAAGAAAGCGUAAUAGCUCACUGGUCGAGUCGGCCUGCGCGGAAGAUGUAACGGGGCUAAACCAUGCACCGAAGCU
rnacentral:rRNA from 1 species